rnacentral:misc_RNA from 1 species
GGAUGGAUCAUGUAACUCUAAACUGCGAUGCUGCUCGCUGCAUGCGGCGGUGGAGCGGCCUAUGCUACCUUCUAGGUGGUCUGGCCCUCGCCGUCGCGCCGGCAGCGCAUCACACACACACCCACUUGCACGUGGUUUUCGUUCGAUGGACCGCGGCGCAGCGACAGCUUUGCUGCUGCUGCUGCUGUCCAUCCGUUUUCCUCAUUAAACACCCUGUUUACAUUGACACUGAACUCAUUGUGUCCUCGUGCCGCUCGUCGGCACGACGUCACAUAAAAACAAACCAAAACAACUUUCAACAACGGAUGUCUUGGUUCCCGCAUCGAUGAAGAACGCCGCGAAAUGCGAUACUUAAUGUGAAACGCAACGCAGUGUGAAUCAUCAAGGUUUCGAACGCACAUUGCGCUGCCGAGGUCUUCCUUGGCAGCAUGCCUGUUUGAGAAUCGUUUCUCAACCUCCUCCCCUCCCACCACCCUCUCCGGAGGGCGGUGCGGCGGGCGAGGGACGCUGAGCGCCCUGCCGCGUCCGUUCACGGACAGCAGCAGGCCGCUUGAAAUGGAGACCCCGAUCCGGUGUAGCGACGUCGAGCGCUUGCGCGGUCGCACCCUGUGCUGUGGUGUUUGUUUGUCCGAGUAGUCUCUCGAGACCUCUCGCGGCAGCAACAACAAGCUUCACAGGCGUGUCCGCCCGCUGUGUGCGUCACUCCUCCUGCGAUGACAUCAAAAGGAGCGGAUUGGAUCGAUCGCAAAACACACACACACACCAGCAUCAAGCUGGCGUGUGUGCAACCAUCAUCGCGAUCUCAAAUCAGGCAAGACCACCCGCUGAACUUAAGCAUAUCAAUAAGCGGAGGAAAAGAAACUAACAAGGAAGCCCUCAGUAACGGCGAGUGAAGCGGGCUAAGCUCAAAUUUCAAAUCUGCGUCGCUCGCGCGGCGUCGAAUUGUAGUUUACAGGAGCGUUUUUGGCGGUGCGCCGAGCAUAAGUGCCCUCGAACGGGUCGUCAGAGAGGGUGAGAACCCCGUCUUUGGCCCGGCGGCACCGCUGAGCACGGACGUUUCCUACGAGUCGGGUUGUUUGGGACUACAGCCUUAAUUGGGUGGUAGAUGCCAUCUAAAGCUAACUUAUCUGCGGGAGACCGAUAGCGAACAAGUAGCGUGAGCGAAAGAUGAAAAGCACUCUGGAGAGAGAGGCAACAGGACCUGAAAUUGUUGAAAGGGAAGGGAUUGAAAUCAGUUGUUACCCUGCGGAGAUUCGCCUGUUGCGGACGGUGCUCUUGCUGCGUGGCCGAGCCCCAAAAGCCGGUGCGUGGCGGAACGCGGCCGCUGCGGCGGGUUACUUCUCCGUGCGGGUAGGCCAAUAUCAGUUCGUGUGGAUCGCGCCGGACAAGACUGCGGGGAAGGUAGGGACGGCGCUGUGUACGCGGCCCGUCCUGUCAUAGCCCCGCGGGGAUACGGUGCGGCGGACUGAGGAAAACCCUGGUGUGCCAUGCACGCGCCUCGGCGACGUGCGCUGCCGGAAGGCGUGCCGGCCGCUCGCAAGGGCGACGGCGCGUCUGUGCCGGUGGACGCGCGUUCGGCGUGCAAAGGAUAUUGGCGAAUUUGUUUCCAUCCACCCGUCUUGAAACACGGACCAAGGAGUCCACCGUCUACGCGAGUAUUUGGGUGGCAAACCCGAAUGCGCAAUGAAAGUGAAGGCGUCAGUGGGCGCUGAGAUGGGACGGCGCGCGCGAAGCGUGCCCGCACCACCGGCCGAUCUGGAUUCCUCGCGAGGAAAGAUUUGAGCAAGAGCGUAGCCGUUGGGACCCGAAAGAUGGUGAACUUUGCCUGAGUAGGUUGAAGUCAGUGGAAACACUGAUGGAGGACCGUAGAGAUACUGACGUGCAAAUCGUUCUUCAGACUUGGGUAAAGGGGCGAAAGACUAAUCGAACCAUCUAGUAGCUGGUUCCCUC